rnacentral:rRNA from 1 species
GACGAACCGUGCAAACGUUGUUCGGAAUCACUGGGCUUAAAGGGCGCGUAGGCGGUCCGCCAAGUCAGGGGUGAAAUCUUUCGGCUUAACCGGAAAAGUGCCUUUGAUACUGGCGGGCUCGAGGGAGGUAGGGGUCUGUGGAACUUCUGGUGGAGCGGUGAAAUGCGUUGAUAUCAGAAGGAACGCCGGUGGCGAAAGCGACGGACUGGACCUCUUCUGACGCUGAGGCGCGAAAGCUAGGGGAGCAAACGGG